GAGUUUGAUUAUGGCUCAGGAUGAACGCUAGCGAUAGGCUUAACACAUGCAAGUCGAGGGGCAGCGAGGGUAGCAAUACCUGUCGGCGACCGGCGCACGGGUGAGUAACGCGUAUGUAACCUGCCCGCAACAGGGGGAUAACCCGGCGAAAGUCGGACUAAUACCGCAUAAAACAGGGGUCCCGCAUGGGAAUAUUUGUUAAAGAUUUAUCGGUUGCGGAUGGGCAUGCGUACCAUUAGGUAGUUGGUGAGGUAACGGCUCACCAAGCCUUCGAUGGUUAGGGGUUCUGAGAGGAAGGUCCCCACACUGGUACUGAGACACGGACCAGACUCCUACGGGAGGCAGCAGUGAGGAAUAUUGGUCAAUGGGCGAGAGCCUGAACCAGCCAAGUCGCGUGAAGGAUGACUGCCCUAUGGGUUGUAAACUUCUUUUACAAGGGAAUAAAAUGAGAUACGUGUAUUUUAUU
rnacentral:rRNA from 1 species